AACGAACGCUGGCGGCAUGCCUAACACAUGCAAGUCGAACGAGACCUUCGGGUCUAGUGGCGCACGGGUGCGUAACGCGUGGGAACCUGCCCUUAGGUUCGGAAUAACUCCCCGAAAGGGGUGCUAAUACCGGAUAAUGUCUUCGGACCAAAGAUUUAUCGCCUUUGGAUGGGCCCGCGUUGGAUUAGCUAGUUGGUAGGGUAAAAGCCUACCAAGGCGACGAUCCAUAGCUGGUCUGAGAGGAUGAUCAGCCACACUGGGACUGAGACACGGCCCAGACUCCUACGGGAGGAAGCAGUGGGGAAUAUUGGACAAUGGGCGAAAGUCUGAUCCAGCAAUGCCGCGUGAGUGAUGAAGGCCUUAGGGUUGUAAAGCUCCUUUACCCGGGAUGAUAAUGACAGUACCGGGAGAAUAAGCUCCGGCUAACUCCGUG
rnacentral:rRNA from 1 species